AAGUUUAGGUAGUAUUUCAUGCUUACAAAAAGCAUAGGCAGCGUAUCAUGAAUAUAUCUAUGUACAUUAUAAUUCCUGUUGCCUCUUUGCUACAGUAUUCUGCCCAUGCUGAAAAAUUGCCCUUCAAAGUUCAGUUUAAUUACAAGCCUGCCACCGCUCCAACCUACGUUGCUUACUUUCUGAAUGGACAGGAGCCUGCCGCGUAGCCGGUUUUUCCUUCUCUCCAUACUGCAGAUUAAUACACGUGCAGCUACUUUUUCCCAUGUACAUUUACAGAUACAGAACACCAGAAAGAAGUGAAGAGAAGAAAAGGCAAAGCUUCCGCUCGACGCUUAAAAAUUUGAAAUUUGAAAUUUCAAAUUUCAAAUUAUUUUGUAGAUUAGUGCUUAUUACCUAUUUCUUUUCUUCCCAAUUAUAACAUAGCUAACACAACUUGCUGCGUAAUUUUAGUUUGCAAAACAUGUCAAAUGUUAGUAAUGAGAUAGAUAACCAACCAAUCUGUUUUUGUUCUUUACAACUUGGUUUUUCAGCUACUUGCUUGACUAAAACCUCUGAUUUUGUAGGCUCAAGAGGAUUCCACAAGCCAAUGUCCUGCUACAUUUAGUAGAUUUUGGUUUGUUGUAGCAUAACUGCUUGAUUAAAAUCCUGUUAUGUUUGUCGACUUUGGUCUGGCAAAGGAAAGAAAUGGAGGAUGCCUAUCUAAGGCUGAAGAGGAUUCCACAAGAUCAUGACACCUGUUCACCUCUGAAGAUAUGGUCCAAGGUUUAGUUCUUGCUAUUUUUCACCUUCUGAUCGUUGUUUAUAUUAUUCACUGAUGUUUCUAUUAAAGUUUGCAAUCUUUUGCAAACUGAAUGAUUGUUUCCUAUAAUUUCUGUCAUGUUGUGGAUGAUGAAUGUUUUUACUUCAUGAACUCACUUCAUAUAUAACAAAGUGUAAUAAUAUAUAACAAAGUGUUAUGAACCAAAAAGUGUUAGGAAGCGCAAGAAAUUUGGAGACAAAGAGAAUAUCUCAGAAAAUUCUGCCACUGAUGCUCUGCAGGUUCGUUAAAACUUAUUAUGGCUGCUGUUUGUUACUUCAUUUAACGCAUUAUCGAAUGAUCUUCUCAAGACUUAAUAAGGACCAAAUGUUGUGUAAAAAUACGAUGGUUCACCACCUCAUCUGCUCAGAUCAUUGUCCGGUGAAAAAAGAGUUGUUACACAUAUAAUUGGAGAAGCAUCACUUUCUGCACUUUCUUUUAAGUGUCCUGUAUGUCCUCAACUAAGAAUCAUUUGAAUGUAGGAUACCAGAAUUCAUUUUAAUUGUUCGUUUAAGGUCACAUGUAAUGCUCAGUUGAAAAUGGGGAGUUGAUUGAGGAUGCCCAGAAUCAAAUGGUAACAAAGAUCACAUACACAAGAUAAGAAAAUAAUUGCUACGAUGUUUUGGCCGUAAUUUUGCAUAAUUCUAGCCAAUUUUUAGAUGUGGAGAUUUAUUUGCGAUGUACAUUGUUUGGUUUUGACAGCAGGCACAAAACUUCGGGGAACCAUUUUCCUUGGUUAUCUGUGAAGGUGAAACUUUAGCAGGCGUUAAAAUGCGUAUUCAAAAGAAAUUGCAGGUUUCAGACGAGGAGUUUCUGAAGGUACAUAUAUUUCUUUGUACAUGUUUCACCUUAGCAGAAGUUAAAAUGUGUAUUCAAAAAAAAAUUGCAGGUUCAACGAGGAGUUUCUAAAGGUACAUCUAUUUCUUUGUACACGGCUGCUCAAUAUUUAAUUUUCAACCAUAUCUAACAAUUUUUUCCACUUGAUUUGUAAUGUGAGAAUUAACACCCUUUUUUGCGUAUAUGUACUUUCUGGGGGUUUCAGUGGAAAUUUGCGCUCUUAUCACUGGGAAGGCCAGAUUAUUUGCUGGACUCGGAUGUUGUAUCUAGCCGUUUCCAGAGAAGGGACGUGUAUGGUGCUUGGAAGCAAUAUUUUGGGUUGGAGCAGCCUAACAAUACUCCUAAAGAGCUUUGC